rnacentral:lncRNA from 1 species
CUUAUAAUGCAACAAUACUGACAGCAACUUUUAGCUACAACUGCAAUGGUAGCAUGCUAUUAGCAAUACAUCCUAAUAGUAACAAUAGCAAGUUUCAUCCUAUUAGCACAGUGUCAGAUUAAAGUAUCAUUGGAAGUCAUGUUAUUUGAAUAUGUCUUCGGUGCUUUUGUUUGUUAGAAAUGAUUGGACCUCAAGCUUGCCAAUGUGGGGAACCCCUUAAUGGGAUGAGGAAAGACUUAGUUCAUAUUAGAAGUUGACAAGGCAGCUGACAAAGCAGUUGAAUUGGAAAGACAUGAAGGAGCUGCCUGAAGAAUCAACAAUACAAGCAGCAAUUGAAAGAUGCUUACACAAUUGGCAGCCAACUUGGAAUAACAGAUUGAGAAUUCUCUAGAAGAACGAAGAGGAAUUUUGUAAAUUAGGUACCUUUCUGUUGUGAGAACAUGUAUGUAAAUUAUUUCUUCUAGAAUAGCCUAUUGUGUGUAUAUAUACUCUGCUUUUCUGUAUAGUUUCAGCAAGUAGAAAAAUGAAUAUAAUUCUUUGCUUUAUUUCUGCCUCCAUUGUUCAGCUAAUUUCCUUUAUGAUCAAUUCAUUUCUAAGAUGGUGUCUGAGCCAGCCUUAGAAGAUUCAAGUGCUGGAGAUACAAAUACAGAUCAAAACCAAAACCAAAACAAAAACCAAAGCCAAAAUCCAAAUGCUAAUCGAUUUGGCAACCCAUCAAAUGCUGUAAACCUUGAUCCCACUCAGCCUAAUAGCCCAUAUUUCAUUGGAAGCAAUGACAGUGCUGGGACCUUGGUCGUAACCCACACCUUGGAUGUUAACAAUUAUCAUUCUUGGGCGUUAUCAAUGAAAAAAGCAUUGCGAAUCAAAAAUAAAUUGGGAUUUAUUGAUGGAAGCUUAUGCGAACCAGCAAACCCAAACAACCCACUCAUGGAACACUGGUUGCGUUGUAAUGACAUAGUUAUUACAUGGAUGCAGAACACAAUUGCAGUUGACAUCAAAUGUAGCACCACAUAUGCUGAAAUGGCGCAUCAACUAUGGAUUGAGCUGGAGCAACUUUUUGCUCAGCAAAACGCACCUCGUGUCUAUGAAAUCAAACAAGUCAUAAGUAUGCUACUGCAAAACCAAGAUCCUAUAAGUGUCUAUUUUUCCAAAUUCAAAACACUUCUUGAUGAGCUUAUGAACUAUGAAACUGUACCUAACUGUAAUUGUGGAGGCUUGAAGGUAGUCAUUCAGAAUCAAUAAAGGGUUUGGGUAAUGAAUUUUUUGAUGGGCUUGAGUGAUUCAUAUAAGGAAAUUAAGGCACAAAUUUUGUUGAUCAAACCAUUUCCCAAUUUGAAUGAAGUUUACUCAAUAAUACACCAGGAAGAGAAAAGAAGGGAGAUAUCAACUGAGGGAUACUUACAUGAAUCUAUGACUCUUCUUGCAAAGGGAAAUUUCAAAGAAAAGGAAAGGCAAAGCACUCAUGUGCAGAAGAGAGACAGAUACUACUGCACGUUUUGUAAAAUUGUAGGACACUCACUUGAUAGAUGCUUCAAGGCAAACCCAGACAGGCCAACUUGUACCCACUGUCAGAUUCCUGGCCAUCAGGUGGACAAAUGCUACAAACUUCAUGGCUAUCCUCCAGGCUACAAAUUCAGUGGAAAGGAAAGGACAUCAGCAAAUCAAGCUGUGGCAUCUUUAUCUCUUGCACACGAGGUUGGAAAUGGCAAAUCCCAGGUGUUCUUAAGUCAAGACCAAAUUUCACAGCUCAUGGCUCUUCUCAAACCUGCCACUAAGCCUCAAAACCAUAAUUACUCAGUCAACAAUGCUCAAAGUAUCAUUACCUCCACCUCAACUGAUGAAAUUAUACACCAACUAUCUGGUAUGUCCCUAUGUAUGUCUGUUGCCAAACCAUAAAGUCCUAACAUGUUAAAUAUUCCUUGGAUACUCGACAUAGGAGCAACAUAUCAUAUGAUCUGCUCCACUUCGUUUUACUCAUCAAUUUGUGCUGAGGUUGCAUAUUCUAUAGCUCUACCAAAUGGCAACGUGGUCCCUAUUACCUAUAUAGGGACUCAAAGGUCACAUAUGCUUUAAUGCUUCAAGAUGUUCUAUGUGUACCUAGUUUUUCAUUCAAUCUCAUUUCUGCCAAAAAGCUAACAUAGAUGCUCAAAUGUUGUCUAAUUUUCUUUUCUCAUUGCUGUUAUAUCUAGGACCUUUCAGCUUGGAAGACGAUUGGUAUGUGUAAAGUAAAAGAAGGGCUGUAUCACAUGAUGGUCAAAGAUGUUCCCUCUUCAGCACUAUCAGAUUACCUAAAUUGCAUACUCAUACCCAAAUUCCUACUUCAGCUAUCUCAAAUAUUCAAGACUUUGAUGUUUGGCAUUACAGAUUAGGACACACUUCUUACUCUAUUCUUAGUGUUGAUGGUGAUGUUCAAUUCUCCAAAUCAUCUAAUAAUGAAUUUUGUUCUAUAUGCCCUCUGUCUAAAUUGCACAAAUUACCUUUUUACAUAAGCAAUCACAAAACUGACAAAUGUUUUAAAUUAUUACAUUGUGACAUCUGGGUCUCUGCAAUGAAAUUGGUUCCGAUGGUUCCAAGUAUUUCUUAACCAUUGUGGAUGACUUUAGUAGAUGUACUUGGGCCUAUACCUUGAGACUGAAAUCAAAUGCUUGCAAUGCCCUUCAAACCUUUUGUGUUAUGGUUGAAACACAGUUUGAAACCAAGGUUAAGAUAAUUAGAACCGAUAAUGGUAGAUAAUUCAAUAUGAGAGAAUUUUAUCUUCAAAAAGGCAUUAUACAUCAAAAAACCUGUGUUGAGACACCCCAACAAAAUGCCAUCGUUGAAAGGAAACAUCAACACAUUCUUAAUACGGCCAGGGCCUUGAAGUUCCAAAGUGGAAUUCCAUUAAAGUAUUGGAACCAUUGCAUCCUAACUGCGGUGUAUCUCAUCAAUAGAACUCCUUCAUCCACAUUGAAAGAUAAAAGUCCUUACCAGAUUUUAUUCCAUAAAAAGGCAUCUUAUAAUCACCUCAAAGUUUUUGGUUGUCUAGCUUAUGCCACUACCAUUGUAAAUGGAAGACAUAAAUUCGAUCCUAGAGCCAAAAAAUGUGUGUUCAUAGGCUACCCUUUUGGAGUCAAAGGAUAUGCCUUGUUAAAUCUUGAGAUUGAGAAAAUCUUCACAUCUAGGAAUGUAGUUUUUUAUGAAAACAUUUUUCCCUUUAAGGAUGACGCUGUCAGAUUAAAUUAUAACAACAUGAGUUCUAUUCAAGAACCCAUAACUCACAAUAAAACAACCAAUACCAUUCCAAGCACCAGUCAUGUUAAUAAAAUGCCCGAAAUAAGCUCUCAAAUCAUUCAACCUGAGGAAGAACUUCCACAAAGUCCUAAUCAUGGUGAGCCUCAAACUUGCACUGACACUAAUGCUUAUAGCCCCUCACCAAGCACAACUUCUACUACUCAUUUGCCCCACAGGUCAACCAGAAUCAGAAAAGCUCCAGCACAUCUUCAGGACUUCAUAUGCCACCAGGCUACUUCACUUCACCCAACUCAAACAUUGGCCAAGCUAAAGGUACAAGAUUUUUCCAGUUGCCACUAUCUUCUCAAUGCUAG